rnacentral:rRNA from 1 species
AAGUCUUGACAUACUGUGAGGACACAAGAGAUUGUGUUGUUCUGACCUUUGGUUAGACACAGAUACAGGUGGUGCAUGGUU